rnacentral:pre_miRNA from 1 species
AUGGAAGGGGCAUGCAGAGGAGCAGGAGAUUCAGUUGGAAGCCGGAAUCACUUCCCCUCUUUGUCUCCUGUGCUUGCCUCUUCCAUU